rnacentral:rRNA from 1 species
GUCAAGUCAUCAUGGCCCUUAUGUCCAGGGCUACACACGUGCUACAAUGGGCGGCACAGAGCGAAGCGAGCUCGCGAGAGCCAAGCGAAGCGCGGAAAGCCGCCCGUAGUUCGGAUUGAAGUCUGAAACCCGACUUCAUGAAGCUGGAAUCGCUAGUAAUCGCGCAUCAGCAUGGCGCGGUGAAUACGUUCCCGGGCCUU